UACGGGGGGGGCAAGCGUUAUUCGGAAUUACUAGGCGUAAAGCGAGUGUAGGCGGACGAUUAAGUCCGAUGUUAAAUCUCCAGGCUUAACUUGGAGUCGCAUCGGAUACUGGUCGCCUCGAGUGGGGUAGGGGGCAGCGGAAUUCCCGGUGUAGCGGUGAAAUGCGUAGAUAUCUGGAGGAACACCGGUGGCGAAGGCGGCAUCCUGGACCAUUACUGACACUGAUGAAGCGAAAGCCAGGGGAGCAAACGGGG
rnacentral:rRNA from 1 species